GUGCCAGCCGCCGCGGUAAUACGAAGGGGGCUAGCGUUGUUCGGAAUUACUGGGCGUAAAGCGCACGUAGGCGGAUAUUUAAGUCAGGGGUGAAAUCCCAGAGCUCAACUCUGGAACUGCCUUUGAUACUGGGUAUCUUGAGUAUGGAAGAGGUAAGUGGAAUUGCGAGUGUAGAGGUGAAAUUCGUAGAUAUUCGCAGGAACACCAGUGGCGAAGGCGGCUUACUGGUCCAUUACUGACGCUGAGGUGCGAAAGCGUGGGGAGCAAACAGGAUUAGAAACCCUGGUAGUCCGGCCA
rnacentral:rRNA from 1 species